ensembl:snoRNA
UCUGAGGUCUAUCCCGAUGGGGCUUUUCCAGUAGCCACGUGUCAUUGGAAACGCCUCAUACAGUAACUCUGUGGCUUUCCUUAACUAACAGGACUUCCACAAGCCUGUGUGAAGGAACUGCAAAACAAUU